rnacentral:rRNA from 1 species
UACGAAGGGUGCAAGCGUUACUCGGAAUUACUGGGCGUAAAGCGUGCGUAGGUGGUUCGUUAAGUCUGUCGUGAAAGCCCCGGGCUCAACCUGGGAAUGGCGAUGGAUACUGGCGGGCUAGAGUGCGGUAGAGGAGAGUGGAAUUCCCGGUGUAGCAGUGAAAUGCGUAGAUAUUCGGAGGAACACCAGUGGCGAAGGCGGCUCACUGGUCCAUUACUGACGCUGAGGUGCGAAAGCGUGGGGAGCAAACAGG